UACAGAGGGGGCAAGCGUUAUUCGGAAUUAUUGGGCGUAAAGGGUGCGUAGGCGGCGGAGUAAGUUGGGUGUGAAAUCCCGGGGCUCAACCUCGGAAUUGCAUUCAAUACUGCUUCGCUCGAGUACUGGAGAGGAGACUGGAAUUUACGGUGUAGCAGUGAAAUGCGUAGAUAUCGUAAGGAAGGCCGGUGGCGAAAGCGAGUCUCUGGACAGUUACUGACGCUGAGGCACGAAGGCCAGGGGAGCAAACGGG
rnacentral:rRNA from 1 species